GGUGCCAGAGGUGAGAGGUAGUCUUCUGCCAGCACCAAGGGCGUGGCUACUCUUGCCUUCUGAAGCAAAGGCGGGGCUCCUCCCUGGUCCUGAGGUGGUGACCAUCUUCUGUCCCCUGGCUCAGCCCUGCUAUCACCCUCCUCCUGCCUACUGAUUCCCACACCGUUGGAUGCAGCAGGUUCCUCUAAAAGAGGGAGAGAGCCUGAGACCGCUUGAAGAGCUAUCCUCUGUCCGCACCCGCCCACCUGCUGCAGCUGCACCCGAACUGCUGGGAACGUGAGAAAGUCGUGGCAUGGGGGAUCACAGUCUGCCUUCUGCCUCAACAGCUGGGCUCUCCUCCAGCUGGUGACAUUCAGGGUCUGGAGGGCCAGGACCACCUCCCCUCAUCCGUACGCCAGUGCCCCGUCUUUGGGCCUUUCACGGAGACAUGGUUCUGAUGAGGCAGCUCCACCCAGCUUCCCUUGCUCACAUCUGACCGGUCCUCCACACUCAUUUCAGAUGUCACCACCUGGGGAAGCCAUGUUAGAUGGCUACAGACACUCAUCAUUCUCCCACACGCAACAGACUGCUUGUCCCUAGGGUCCUGCUCCCACUAGGCUGAGGGACUAGGGGCCUCUCAGGAUGCGUGCAUCGCUGGAGCAGGGAACCUGUCCACUCCAUUGUAGCCAGUGACCUAGGGCAAUUCUCUUAUCCACUGUAAACUUUGGCUUCUAUGAGUUAAAGGAGAGAAGACAGCCUUGUGUUGAACAUUUUGUGAUGUUAGAGAGAGGCUCUUAUGGUGCACUGUGCACAGCCCUGUCCAUCCCUGGAGAGCCAGUGCCUGAGUGAGGCUGUGGGCAGGGACCUGGGCCUGGGCACCCUGGACCCUGAAAAGACCCCCCCCUUCUCUUAGAUUUUGGCAACACUUACAAACCCAGUGUGACCACACAGCUGGCCUAUGGCCUGCUCCCUACUGCUCUGAGACAAAGUGGCAAUCCUAGGGAGCUACAGAGGGACAGAUACUGGCUACUGUCCCAGGGGCAACUUCCCAUGUUACUCUGUUCUUAUGCCAGAGGCUUUGUUCUGAGGCUGUGGUUGGACUUGGUAAGGUUCUUACCCACAGGGGCCGGAGGCAAGGUACAGACAGCCCUCUGAGGGAAUGCUAUGCUGGGGACCCAGCACGCAGCCUGUGCAAGAUGGCACCUCUCAGAGGGCCCCUUGCAUUUACACCCCCUCAUGGCAGGAAGGUGAGCCCUGUUUAACUGGGAUGCCAGACAUGGACUCUGCUGUUGGUAGCACUGUGGAGGGAGCUCUACUUGUUUCCUGUCCGUGGGGUAACUAACACUGGAUUUCCCCU
rnacentral:lncRNA from 1 species